rnacentral:rRNA from 1 species
GAUGAACGCUAGCUACAGGCUUAACACAUGCAAGUCGAGGGGCAGCAUGUCGGUUGCUUGCAACCGAUGAUGGCGACCGGCGCACGGGUGAGUAACGCGUAUCCAACCUACCCUUGUCCAUCGGAUAACCCGUCGAAAGGCGGCCUAACACGAUAUGCGGUUCUCAGCAGGCAUCUAACGAGAACGAAAUGUGAAGGAGAAGGAUGGGGAUGCGUCUGAUUAGCUUGUUGGCGGGGUAACGGCCCACCAAGGCGACGAUCAGUAGGGGUUCUGAGAGGAAGGUCCCCCACAUUGGAACUGAGACACGGUCCAAACUCCUACGGGAGGCAGCAGUGAGGAAUAUUGGUCAAUGGACGGGAGUCUGAACCAGCCAAGUAGCGUGCAGGAUGACGGCCCUAUGGGUUGUAAACUGCUUUUAUAGGGGGAUAAAGUGUGCCACGUGUGGCAUAUUGCAGGUACCCUAUGAAUAAGGACCGGCUAAUUCCGUGCCAGCAGCCGCGGUAAUACGGAAGGUCCGGGCGUUAUCCGGAUUUAUUGGGUUUAAAGGGAGCGUAGGCCGUCUUAUAAGCGUGUUGUGAAAUGUCGUGGCUCAACCUGGGCAUUGCAGCGCGAACUGUGAGACUUGAGUGCGCAGGAAGUAGGCGGAAUUCGUCGUGUAGCGGUGAAAUGCUUAGAUAUGACGAAGAACUCCGAUUGCGAAGGCAGCCUGCUGUAGCGCAACUGACGCUGAAGCUCGAAGGCGUGGGUAUCGAACAGG